UUAACCCCCUGUGUGCCAGAGCCCGAGGCACACUAAUGAUUUCUAAAUGGCAGUAAGAAGGCUGAGUCUGAGGGUGGGGCUAGCGCUGCUAAGAAGGAAUCCAAGAGGAAGAGAGAGCCGUCAUUCAGCGAUGAGGUGGAGGUGAAGUCUCCACCCCCCUCAGCUCCUGAAGAUGACGAUGAUGACGGCGUACAGAAGCGCCGCUCCAGCCGUCAGGUGAAGAGGAAGAGGUACACGGAGGAUCUGGAGUUCAAGAUCACAGACGAUGACAGUGGCGACGACUCGACAACACCCAAGUCUCCAUCGUCGUCACAGCAACAGGUACAGCUGGGCUUUCAAUCACAUGAUGAUGUAAACGAGGAGAAGCUAGACAUUCAUAACAAUUAGAUUUUGCCCCACCACUAAUAUUGAAGUAUCAACACAUGUCACAGUAGAGACACAAAUACAAAUAUGAACCUGAAAAUGAGUAGAAUAGUGCCCCUUUAA